GAGAAAGAGAGAGAGAGAGAGAGAGGGCGAGAGAAAGGAGGUGUUUGUCCUAGUUUUUAAAAAGUAUUUUUGAAUUGAAAAAUAAUUUUUGAUUUAAUAGAGCGUUUGACAACUAUAUUUUUAAAAUCUGGUUCUACCUUUUAGAAUUACUAAUAUAGGAACUAAACGAAUUUGGAAUUGCUAUUUUUUUUUAAAGAAAAAUAGUAUUUUAUCCUGUCCGUUUAUUUUCCUUCGAUUUGUUUGCUUGGGAUAUAAAUAAAAUUAUGUAUUUCAGAAAUAAAUAUAAAUUCAAGUAUAUAAGUAGGACCUAAACGAAUUUUAUUUUUGAAUAAAAAUUAAAUUAUUUCUAAGAAUAAGAUAAAUAAUAUUUGGAUAGUCAGAUUAGAAUACGAGGAAUAAACGUUUAACAUUAAAAUAUUAAAUAAAAGUAAUUUAAUAAAUUAAUAAAUUUAUUAGUUAUGAAUAUUGUAUAAGAUAAUACAAAUAAAUUAAUUAAUUAGUGAAAUAUAAAAAAUCAUUUAACUUUUUAAUUAGUUAGUAAAUUAUUUUAGUUAGAUAAUUAGUAAAAAAAUUAACUAGAUUAGUAAAAAUAUUAAUGGUUGAUCGAUGUAAAGAUUAGUUUAUAGUUAAACACAUUAAACUAUUAAUUUUUCUUAACUAAUAAUUAUAAAUAACAAAUUAGUUAAUUAUUUUAUUAUUUAAGUAAUAGGUAAUGAUUUAAAUACAUUAAUUUUAUAAAUUAAUAAUUUAGUACCAUUAUUAAAAUUAAAUUUAGAUUUUAAUUAAGAUUGUUCUCACUUGGGAACAACCUUGUUCUAGAAAAAAGGUGGAACAACAGUUCCAGCCUUAUAUCAGCUUGUUUCAGAAAAAGAAGAACUGCUGUUCCCCUCUCCCAAAAUUGCAUUUGGGCAUAAAGGGAGGAUUAAGGAAUAAGAGUUUAUUCCUCCCUUUAUACCUCCCUUUCUAAAAAUAAAUUUAGCUGAAAAUUUGAAUCAACUAGAUUUCUAAUUUGGGACCUCGAGUUUCAACCACCAAUCCCUUUGCCAGUUGCAUUAGGGACGGUCGUGUGGGAAUGGGAUUGUUUUUUUGUUUUUGUUUUUGUUUUUUUUUUUUUUUGAGAGAGAGAUAGGUAGCAUGCUACCCGCUUCUUUUAUUUCAUUUAAAAAUAAACUUAGCUGAAAAUAUGAAUCAACUAAGAUUCGAACUUGGGACCUCAGGUACCAACCACCAAGCCCGUUGCCACUUGUGUUAAGGACGGUCAGUGUGGGAUUGGGAUUGUUGGUAUGGCAAGAGAGAGGAGAGCGAACCUUAUAAUAUUAUUUAAGUAAACGUCAAAUACCAUCUCUAUAGUUUCACACUUUCUUACUUUAGUACUUUGUGAUUUAAAAGUAUAUUAUUUUAUCAUCCCGUGGUUUCUUUUUCUUAUUCUGGUAGUAGUUAUGUUAACUCUCCGUUAAAUUAUACACAAAAAACUGCAGAUACUCUAUCUAUGAUUUAUUGAAUAUGCACUUUAGUACCUUGUGGUUUACUAAAUUUUCACUUUAAUACCCUAUGAUUUUAACUUGAUCACUAAUUUAACAACAAAAUUAACGGAGGAGAUAAUAGAAAAACAAAAACAAAACCACAAAAUACUAAAGUGAUACAUAUUUAAAUCAUAAGGUACUAAAGUGAAAAAGUGUAAAAUUAUAAGAAUAGUAUUUGAAGUUUUUUCUAUUGCCUAUAGCAUUGCUCUAUUUAUAAUAGGCUAAAAUACAAAAAAAAAUUUAUAAAUAUUUAUUUUUUAUUUUUUUUGAAAGAAUCCUGUGGUUUUAACUUUAUUACUGAUUUAACAAAAAAAAUUAAUGGAGGGAAUAACAUAAAUAGAAAAACAAAACCACAAGCUACUAAAGUGAUAUAUUUUAAAUCACAAGAUAUUAAAGUAAGAAAGAGUGAAAUUAUAGGGAUGGUAUUUGAAGUUUUUUAUAUUAUUUAUAAUGGCCUAAAAUAUAGAAAUUUUUUUNCUUAAAAUUUCAAAAAUAUUUUUAGAGAAGGCGUUAAUGGAAAGAAGAAAAUGAGCAAAUUAUUUUUAUUUUUUUAUAAAAAAAUAAUUUUUUAAUAUAUUUAUGUGAUUUUGAAAGUUAUUUUCGGCAUAAAUUAUAAGAAAUGGAUCGAAUAUGAUAGAAUCCUGACGAAUGGAGGCUAAAUACAAUAACUUGAAAUAUUGAGGAGACAAAAUAUAGAAAGUUAGAAAGAAAAAAUAAAAAACUGGGUACUUAGAAGUGAGUAUUUUGUAAUUUAACUUUUAUAAUAAAAUAAUAAUAAUAUUAUUAUAUUAAAUUUUAUGUAUAAAAAUAAUCAUUAUUUAUUUAAUAAGUGUUAAACUCACUCCA
rnacentral:lncRNA from 1 species